GAUGAGGGGAGCUUGCUCUCUGAUUCAGCGGCGGACGGGUGAGUAAUGCCUAGGAAUCUGCCUGGUAGUGGGGGACAACGUUUCGAAAGGAACGCUAAUACCGCAUACGUCCUACGGGAGAAAGUGGGGGAUCUUCGGACCUCACGCUAUCAGAUGAGCCUAGGUACGAUUAGCUAGUUGGUGAGGUAAAGGCUCACCAAGGCGACGAUCGUUAACUGGUCUGAGAGGAUGAUCAGUCACACUGGAACUGAGACACGGUCCAGACUCCUACGGGAGGCAGCAGUGGGGAAUAUUGGACAAUGGGCGAAAGCCUGAUCCAGCCAUGCCGCGUGUGUGAAGAAGGUCUUCGGAUUGUAAAGCACUUUAAGUUGGGAGGAAGGACAGUAAGUUAAUACCUUGCUGUUUUGACGUUACCAACAGAAUAAGCACCGGCUAACUUCGUGCCAGCAGCCGCGGUAAUACGAAGGGUGCAAGCGUUAAUCGGAAUUACUGGGCGUAAAGCGCGCGUAGGUGGUUUUGUAAGUUGGAGGUGAAAUCCCCGGGCUCAACCUGGGAACUGCCUCCAAAACUGCAUGACUAGAGUACGGUAGAGGGUGGUGGAAUUUCCUGUGUAGCGGUGAAAUGCGUAGAUAUAGGAAGGAACACCAGUGGCGAAGGCGACCACCUGGACUGAUACUGAC
rnacentral:rRNA from 1 species